CGCGGGUCCGCCCUAGGCGCUGGGCUCCAGGGAUCGGCUCCGACUGCUGCAGUUCGGGCCUUAUUUUAGGGUGAAGCCCGGGCAGCCGACCCGGCUGCGCCGUAGUGGGAGGCCACGGCGAUUACCCAGGUGAAGGUCUUCCAGGUGAGACGGGUUCCCCCAGCCCAGCCCUGGAAGGUGGAAAAAGAAAAGUUGACAUGGAAUGUUUAGGAAGCACCAUUGGUCCAGGUCCAGGAUCGGGGCAGCCAGCAUGUCCUCUAAUCUGGCUUCACUGUUGAAAUCCAGUCGAGCAAGCAGGGCCCAAACCACUGCGAGACCAGCUCGGUCGGGCCCAAACCACCGCCCACUGCGAGACCAGCUCGGUCGGGCCCAAACCACCGCCCACUGCGGGACCAGCUCGGUCGGGCCCAAACCACCGCCCACUGCGGGACCAGCUCGGUCGUGGAGACCCUAACCCAGCGGCGCUAGAGGAAUUAAAGAAACACACACAGAAAUAUAGGUACCUCGCAAGGGUUUUUUGCAUGUCUGAUACCUACGGCUCCAACAGGACCCACUGACUGAUGAUGGCUCCACCUGGACCUGCCAACUACUCCUGCAGCCCCACCCAGAAGCGGUUCAGCACACGGGAGGAUCCUGUCUCACACCCUACGAUGGCCCCCCGCCCCCACAACCCAUCAGCAGCAAGCACCCACUGCCAAGCUACCCCACCCCUUCCCCCAAACUACCUUUGGAACACCCUAGUCCCCAAAUUCUUGGGGAGACUGAUUUCAGUAAUCAUCAAA
rnacentral:lncRNA from 1 species